UACAGAGGCCUCGAGCGUUAGGCGGAAUCACUGGGCUUAAAGCGUGUGUAGGCGGACUUCUAAGUACCUUGUGAAAUCCCACGGCUCAACCGUGGAACUGCUGGGUAUACUGCGGGUCUUGAGCCACCUAGGGGCGAGCGGAACAAGUGGUGGAGCGGUGAAAUGCGUAGAUAUCACUUGGAACGCCAAUGGUGAAAACAGCUCGCUGGGGGUGUGCUGACGCUGAGACACGAAAGCCAGGGGAGCAAACGGG
rnacentral:rRNA from 1 species